UACGAAGGGGGCUAGCGUUGCUCGGAAUCACUGGGCGUAAAGGGUGCGUAGGCGGGUCUUUAAGUCAGGGGUGAAAUCCUGGAGCUCAACUCCAGAACUGCCUUUGAUACUGAAGAUCUUGAGUCCGGGGAGAGGUGAGUGGAACUGCGAGUGUAGAGGUGAAAUUCGUAGAUAUUCGCAAGAACACCAGUGGCGAAGGCGGCUCACUGGCCCGGUACUGACGCUGAGGCACGAAAGCGUGGGGAGCAAACAGG
rnacentral:rRNA from 1 species